rnacentral:misc_RNA from 1 species
AACGCACGAGACCUGCGGACCUGCGGAGGGAUCAUUACCAAUUUUUAAUUAUUAGUUUUACCUUACACUUGUGUGGGUAACAACUACUAAUGUAAACGUUGAACUAGAUCAUUGGUGUGGAUUGCUUGGGAAUGGACGAAGCGACAAGCCUCUUCCGGACAGGCAAACCCCACACCGAUAACCUUUUCAUACAUAUUACAACUAGUACAUACUACAAACAAACAAACAAAAGCUAUAAUA